UUUAAGUGUAGUUAUGAGUUUCUAUGUCUAACAUUUGACUGUCCAUCUUAUUUGAAAUUUAUUUUAUGAUUAGUAUGUUUAUUGUUAUUAGAUGAUAAAACAUGAAUAGUACUUUAUGUGUUUAUGUGUGACUUUUUUUAAAUUUUUACAUAAAUUUUUCAAAUAAGACGAAUAAGACGGAUGGUUAAACUUUGAACACAAAAAAACCCAUAACUGUAUCUAAA
rnacentral:pre_miRNA from 1 species